AUGCUAUGUAGCGCACGACCAGCAGCAAACGUACACACGCUAAUCUGUCGAUCGACAUCAGGCAGCAGCGGCGAAUCCCUCCUCUUCACCGGCGUCCACGACGGUGUCAAUGGCGCGCCGGGCGUUGCGGCUGAAGCAGCUGCGGCGGAUCUCGCCGACGUUCCCGCCGGGCCUUGGCGCGGUGGCGAGCUUGGCCAUGGACUUGGCGAACUGCGUGAAGAAGGCGUCCUUGCUCUGCGCGAACUGCCUCACGAUGGGCGCCGUGGUGCGGUCCUUGAUGAGCGCCAUGUCGGAGGUGAACACGCCCUGGCUGUUCACCAGCGCCUUGUAGUACCCGUUGUCGAACAGGUCGGGGGUCACCACGUCCAGGUUCUGUGGCCGGGGCGAGGGGGCGCUGCAGUUGGCCGCCAGCUUCCGGGAGAAGGCGUCGUCCAUGCGCUGAGCACGGUCGCGGAAGAACGGGCAGCCGGUCCUCCCGACGGUGUGGGCGCCGGAGAGCGCCACCAGGUCGGCCAGGUCGCGGAGGCCCUUGGCGCUGAAGGCGCGCGCGAGGGUGGUGACGCUGGCGGUGGCCGGCGACGGGAGGGCGUUGACGGCGUUCACCGACGCAGGGGCGAGGCUGUCGAACUGGCCCUGGGGAACGGUAUAGUUGGGCCCGCCGGAGAGCACGACGGCGUCGCGGGUGGCGAGCGCCGAGAUGUCGGCGCAGGACACGGUGGCGCCGCACGCCGCGUGCACCUUGGCGCGGAUGUCCUCGACCAGCUGCAGCGCGCGCGGCUGCAGCGUGGUGUUGGGCCCCAUGGCCUGCUCCGUGCCGCUGCCCUUGAGGUACACGGACGCGUCGCAGCCCUGCGGGAAGCAGUCGUGGAAGAAGAUGCGGAGGAGGCCGGCGGCGAGCGCCACCUCGCGCUGGAGCGCCGCCUGCACGGAGGACAGCACGAUGCUCUCCAGCUGCGGGCACGUCGCCGAGUGGAAGCCGGCGCCGUCCAGAGGGGCGGACAGCGCCGGGGAGAGCAGCACGGCGACGGUAACGAAGGCCAUAACCAGUGCGCCUGCGCCGCCGCUACUGCUCGCCAUCGCCAUAGUUGGUGCGGUGCGGUGCGGUGGGUGUGGACUGUGGAGUAA
rnacentral:rRNA from 1 species